UACGUAGGGGGCUAGCGUUAAUCGGAAUUACUGGGCGUAAAGCGUGCGCAGGCGGUUAUGCAAGACAGAUGUGAAAUCCCCGGGCUUAACCUGGGAACCGCAUUUGUGACUGCAUAGCUGGAGUACGGCAGAGGGGGAUGGAAUUCCGCGUGUAGCAGUGAAAUGCGUAGAUAUGCGGAGGAACACCGAUGGCGAAGGCAGUCCCCUGGGCCUGUACUGACGCUCAUGCACGAAAGCGUGGGGAGCAAACAGG
rnacentral:rRNA from 1 species